GGGGAACCUCACCCUCUUCUACUGGAAGCUGCUGGCCGUGCGUCUGGGCUUCAUCGUCGCCUUCGAGCACGUGGUGGUCUCCGUGCGCCUCCUCGCCUGGCUCGUGCCCGACGUUCCAGCAGCCCUGGUUACCAAAAUAAAGCGCGAGCGCUAUCUGGCCAUGCAGAAGCCUGCGGACUCCGGGGAGGCGCUGCUUUAGGGCCAGCCUAUUCAGCCUGACCAAACCAUGCUUCCUGUCCUCUGCAGCAGGGGCGCUGUCUCCAGAGCCCAGGACCAGGCGCGAGUGAGGCGGGACUGCCCUUCAAGAACCCUGGGUUCCCCAGAUGCUUCCUUCCAUUUGGGGUCCUCUGCCUCUGGCCGGGGGUCUGGGCAGUACCUUGGCCAGCGACCCCAAGGUCGGCCUCGGAACUGGGGUGAGAGGAUUAGAGCAUUAAAGCUCUCUGAAGACCGCUAGUCCUGCAUUGCCUCCCUCUCCCUGUCCCCGUCUCCUGCUCUGUGUGCAGUGCUGGCAAUAAACCUCUCUCUGCCCCCCAGUGUGCCACCUGUCCAUGGACACCUGGUUUCCACA